UGGGGAAUAUUGCACAAUGGGGGAAACCCUGAUGCAGCGACGCCGCGUGGGUGAAGAAGUAUUUCGGUAUGUAAAGCCCUAUCAGCAGGGAAGAAGAUGACAGUACCUGACUAAGAAGCCCCGGCUAACUACGUGCCAGCAGCCGCGGUAAUACGUAGGGGGCAAGCGUUAUCCGGAUUUACUGGGUGUAAAGGGAGCGUAGGUGGCAAGGCAAGCCAGAAGUGAAACCCCGGGGCUUAACCCCGCGGAUUGCUUUUGGAACUGUCUGGCUGGAGUGCAGGAGGGGCAGGCGGAAUUCCUGGU
rnacentral:rRNA from 1 species